rnacentral:rRNA from 1 species
GAUGAACGCUAGCGGCAGGCCUAAUACAUGCAAGUCGAACGAUAUUUUCCAGCUUGCUGGGAGAGAAAGUGGCGCACGGGUGCGUAACGCGUAUGCAACCUACCUUUAUCAGGGGGAUAGCCCGGAGAAAUCCGGAUUAAUACCGCAUAAAAUCACAGAACGGCAUUGUUCAAUGAUCAAACAUUUAUGGGAUAAAGAUGGGCAUGCGUGUCAUUAGCUAGUUGGCGGGGUAACGGCCCACCAAGGCGACGAUGACUAGGGGAUCUGAGAGGAUGGCCCCCCACACUGGUACUGAGACACGGACCAGACUCCUACGGGAGGCAGCAGUAAGGAAUAUUGGUCAAUGGAGGCAACUCUGAACCAGCCAUGCCGCGUGCAGGAAGACUGCCCUAUGGGUUGUAAACUGCUUUUAUCCGGGAAUAAACCUCCGAUCGUGAUCGGAGCUGAAUGUACCGGAAGAAUAAGGAUCGGCUAACUCCGUGCCAGCCGCCGCGGUAA